CGGAUGCGAUCAUACCAGCACUAAAGCACCGGAUCCCAUCAGAACUCCGAAGUUAAGCGUGCUUGGGCGAGAGUAGUACUAGGAUGGUGACCUCCUGGGAAGUCCUCGUGUUGCAUCC
rnacentral:rRNA from 1 species